rnacentral:rRNA from 1 species
CGUACGGCUCGUAACACGUAGACAAUCUACCCCCAGGUGGGGGAUAACCUCGGGAAACUGAGGCUAAUACCCCAUAGUUGUCAUGUGCUGGAAUGCUUUGACGAUGAAAGAAUUUCGCCUGAGGAUGAGUCUGCGGCCUAUCAGGUAGUAUGUGGUGUAAAGGACCACAUAGCCUAAGACGGGUACGGGCCUUGAAAGAGGGAGCCCGGAGAUGGACUCUGAGAUACUAGUCCAGGCCCUACGGGGCGCAGCAGGCGCGAAAACUGUGCAAUGCGCGCAAGCGCGACACGGGAAGCCUGAGUGCCUUAACUAUGUUAAGGCUUUUCUUGAUCCUAAAAAGCUCAAGGAAUAAGAGCUGGGUAAGACGGGUGCCAGCCGCCGCGGUAACACCCGCGGCUCGAGUGGUAGUCACUUUAUUGAGCCUAAAGCGUUUGUAGCCGGAUUUGUAAAUCUCUAGGAAAAUACUUCUGCUUAACUGAAGAAAUUUUGGAGAGACUGCAAAUCUAGGGACCGGGUGAGGUUGAAUGUACUUCUGGGGUAGGGGUAAAAUCCUGUAAUCCUGGAAGGACGACCGGUGGCGAAGGCGUUCAACUAGAACGGAUCCGACGGUGAGGAACGAAGGCUAGGGGAGCAAACCGGAUUAGAUACCCGGGUAGUCCUAGCUGUAAACACUGCCCACUUGGUGUUGCAUCUCCGGUAAGGGGGUGCAGUGCCGUAGCGAAGGUGUUAAGUGGGCCGCUUGGGGAGUAUGGUCGCCAAGGCUGAAACUUAAAGGAAUUGGCGGGGGAGCACCGCAACGGGAGGAGCGUGCGGUUUAAUUGGAUUCAACGCCGGAAAACUCACCGGAGGCGACCUGUGUAUGAGAGUCAACCUGAUGAAUUUACUCGAUAGCAGGAGAGGUGGUGCAUGGCCGUCGUCAGCUCGUACCGUAGGGCGUUCACUUAAGUGUGAUAACGAGCGAGACCCCCAUCUUCAAUUGCUAAGCUAACCGUGAGGUUGGUAGAACUUUGAAGGGACCGCCAGUGCAGAACUGGAGGAAGGAGGGGUCGACGGCAGGUCAGUACGCCCCGAAUCUUCCGGGCAACACGCGCGCUACAAAGGACAGGACAAUGGGCUGCGACCUCGAAAGGGGAAGCCAAUCCCGAAACCUGUUCGUAGUUAGGAUUGAGGGCUGUAACUCGCCCUCAUGAAUCUGGAUUCCGUAGUAAUCGCGGGUCAACAUCCCGCGGUGAAUAUGCCCCUGCCCCUUGCACACACCGCCUGUCAAACCAUCCGAGCUGGUGUUGGAUGAGGGUUAGUUCGAAAGGGUUGAUUCGAAUCUGAUGUCAGUGAGGAGGGUUAAGUCAUAACAAGGUAUCCGUAGGGGAACCUGCGGAUAGAUCACCUCAAAAGGGC